GACGAACGCUGGCGGCGUGCUUAACACAUGCAAGUCGAACGGAAAGGCAAUGCUUUUGUGGGGUGGUCGAGAGGCGAAGGGGGGAGUAACACGUGAGUAAAAUGCCCUUGACUGUGGGGUAACUUCAGGAAAAUGGGGAUAAUACAGGAGAGGAGAUCCUGAAGCAUGGGGGGGGUUGGAAAGAUUCGGCGGUUGGGGAUGGACUAUCGGCUUAUCAGCUUGAUGGUGGGGUAGUGGAUGACAAAGGCUUUGACGGGUAGCCGGCCUGGGAGGGUGACCGGCCACCUUGGUCCUGCGAUACGGCCCAGACUCCUACGUGAGGCAGCAGUCGGGAAUAUUGCACAAUGGGCGGACGCCUGAGGCAGCAACGCCGCGUUCGGGAUGACCGCCUUCGGGUUGUAAACCGCUUUCGCCUGUGACGAAGCGUGCUUGACGGUACUUGGUAAAGAAGCACCGGCUAACUACGUG
rnacentral:rRNA from 1 species